AUGCCCUAGACAACUUUAGGGAAAACUAUAUGAUUAAGCUUGUAUUCCAAGUUGGCCUCUAGAACAAAAGUUUAUUCUGUAGACAUCUUGGAUUAAUAACAAAGCCUUAUGCUUUAAGAGACAUGUAGCUAUUUGCAUAAGGAUUAAUAAGCACUACUGAAGAAGAAAAAGGUGGAUAUAUUAAAAUAGUUUUCACCUUUAUACACAUAUAUUUGAUUGCCUUUUUUUGAGGUGGGGGGGCACUUGUGAGCUGUGGAGAAGGAGCAGAGGGAGAAGGGUAGAGAGAAUCCCAAGCAGGCUCUGUGCCAGCUCAGCUGAUGUCAAGAGUCAGAUACUUACCCAACUGAGCCAGGUGCCACCUCUGCAUACAUUUGAUUCUUGAUCAACUAUUUGUCUAUCUCCCUUUCCUUUCAUACAUUGAAAUUCAGGAAAGACUUAAUAUUAUGUUUGUUUCUACAUACAUCAUACUGGCUGAAUGCUCCAGGCAAUGGUGCCAUAAAAGGAUUUAGUGUUGGUCUCCACUGCUGGCAUGUUGAACACUCAGCAGUGGUCAUAGUCAGGAGGUCUUUGGUAAGUGGAAGACUAUAAUGCUCAGCUCAUGUAUUAUCUACAUCCCUGUUACCAUGGCCAAUUUGUUCAUGAACCCACUGGGUAAUGACAGAAGUGAUUAGGAAAAGAUGCUGACUGAUAUCCAUAACCAGGUCAUUCUAUCCACUCGUUAAAAUCCUCUUCUUCUGAAGUCACCCUUUUGGGUGCAUUCAUGUGGUACACAAUAUCUUCAUGUUUUCUGUCAUUCUGAGAGAUCUAGCUAUACAUGUCUUCCUUAAAUUUUUUUGUCACCAGUUUUACAGUCAUAUUCCAUCCAAGUCCCUGACCAUCCAACCAAACAUUUGUCUACAGUACAAGAAUUGGUAUAUAAUUACACAUGGGGCCAUUUCUCUUUCCAAACAAAGUGAACAGCCAGGUGCACUGCUUAAACUUCUGCCCACUGGGAGACUUUUCCUUCAUCACUGCCCUUCAUGGAUGUCCCAGAAAAUGUAACACUGCAGCUUUCCACUUUCUGGUAGUGCCUGUAUAUUAUGCAGAACCAUCUGUAAACUAGUCCUAAGUCUAUUCUUCUGUCAACCAAUCAUAGAGAACUCCACAUGGUGCCAUAAGUACCAGCUGGAAGUGAGAAGCAAUGUAGCAGAAGUAGAAACCAUGAGGUCUCUUCUUCAUAUAAUUUAUUUAUGCCUUUAGGUUCUCCUAGUGCCCAAUGAUGUCACUUCUGUUUGGUGAUAGUGUUACUAUGCAUACCCAACUUUAUGGCUUGUUAGGUCAGAAACACAUGGCUCAUGAUGAACAUCUCAGGUCACAUGGUAAACUGGUGGUCCAUGGUUAAGUGUUUAGUCUCUACAAAGGCCCAGUAAUAGGCCAAGAGCUGAUUCUCAAAAGGAGAAUAGCUAUUUGUGGAGGAUGGCAGAGCUGUGGUCCAAAAUGCUAAUUGCUUGCAUUUUGCAAUUGUAAAGUGAUUUACCUGUAGGAGUUUGCCAUAGGUUAUUUAAAAUAUCCCUACUUGCCAAUGAACUUUAAGCACCAUUGGAUCUGCUGGAUCUUAUGGCCCAAGUGGCAGAGUAGCUUACACUUAAGGCUGGACAUAUUCCAGAGCCUUCUCUUCUGGGUCACACUCAAAAUUGGCAGCUUUCCAAGUCCCUCAAUAAAGGGGCCAGAGUAAUAUACCUAAAUGAGGAAUGUGUUGUCUCCAAAUUCCAAAGAGGCUCACUAUGGAUUGAGCUUGUUUUUUUAUUUAAGGAAAAGCAAGAUACAAGGAUUUCUCCUUUACCUUAGAAUGGACGUCUCAAUAUGCCCCAUAUUAACAAUGCCUAAAAGUUUCGCUGAGGUAAAAGACCUCUAAAGUUUGGUCACAUUUAAUUUUCAUCCUAUGGCAUGUACAUUUCUUACCAAUAACUCUAAAGUAGUUUCUACUUCCGGCUCACUAGGUCAGCAUAAUAUCAUCAAACCAAUGGAAAUUUGUGACAUCUUGUGGAAGAGAAAGUCAAUCAGGGUCCCUGAGAAAUACAUGAUGACAUACAACUGGAGUCUUGACAUACCCUUGAAGUACUGGUACACAUGCCUCAUAAAUAAGACCUUAUUGAAUGCCCACCAGGAUCCUCUGAGCUCAGCAACAUUAUUGUCCUCAUUUCAUAGCAGAAAGAACAGGUUUAGAGGUCAAAUUGAAACUCUGCAUUCUGACUUCAAGUACUAAGCUUUUAGCUAUUAUGCUAAGCAGAAAAUGCCAGGAUUUACUGAAUAUUAUGAAAAUAUACUUGAAAAAAUAAUGUUUCAUCGAAAUAAAGGAAAAGAAGGUAUUAAGUUGACUUCACCAAAUUGGGACAACCCCCACCAUCACCACCACUGCCAUCAAAGAAAUAGCUAUGGACAAUUCAUUUCAUAGAAGUAGAGAGUUGAGAAGCAAAUAUUUUAUUUUUAUCAACUGGUAUUCCAUACUGCCUCAUUUUGUGAAU